AUGAUAUGCCGGGAACUGAAAACACAUAUUAUAAAGUAAAAGGGAUGCACACUGCUGACCGAUACAUGAAUUUUGCUGUCACACUCAUUUAUUUCGUCACGACUAGGGCUGCUAUUAAUAGCAAGAAUUGGGUAUUGGGGAACGCAAUAAAUACAUUAUGCAGUUGGUUAUACAAAAAUUCGGUUACUCUUUAAUUUAUACACCAAUAAAUACGAUAUAACAUUCUAAAUUCCGCGUGAUAGACAAACAACGUAUAUGUAUUACAAAUUCCGUAGACGGUCGACGGUUAAGCACAGUGGCGGACGUGGGAUUUUGUUUUUUAGAGUCGGUUCAAAAUUGUUAAUAUCGAUUUUGAACAGUGUACACUAAAUAUAAAACCCAGAUAAGAUUACGAUCAAGUAUCAACAUUAUCGACUAUCGUAAUAAUAUCGGUCUAACCGCAAUUUGAACGACGAUUCAUAAUCGUUAUUAACUCGUGUUAUUACAAACUACUACAAAUAUAAUAUAACCGCUAAGGGAGGGGAGUGGUCCUUGUCGCCCCCCCCUUAAAUCAGCCACUGGUUUUGCAGUGGCGCCCUUUCUGAAACGGCCGUCCGACCGGUACAAUUUUGUGUUUUCACGUAAACAGAGCAACGUCGAUACGGUUUUAAAGGACGUUACAAAUGUCGAAAAAAAGAACGAUUAUCGAACCAUGCCUUUAUUGUUUUCGGAGCUUCUCGUUCCGCGUACCGCCCCCUCGCCCGCCAUAAUGAUGCACGAUAGAAAAUAGCCCCCCCCCACUUAAGAGCCGCGAUGUAACCCGUGUAGUAUGUGUGACCGGC